rnacentral:ncRNA from 1 species
GCUUAUCCGGAGUGACGGAGGGAACAGGCCCUAUGAAGUCCGACAACCUGCUUGUAUCAAGUAAGGUGCCAAAUCCUGCGGUAUGACCGAAAGAUGAG